UACGGGGAGGGUAAGCGUUGUUCGGAAUUACUGGGCGUAAAGGGCUCGUAGGCGGCCAACUAAGUCAUACGUGAAAUCCCUCAGCUUAACUGGGGAACUGCGUGUGACACUGGAUGGCUUGGAUUUGGGAGAGGGAUGCGGAAUUCCAGGUGUAGCGGUGAAAUGCGUAGAUAUCUGGAGGAACACCGGUGGCGAAGGCGGCAUCCUGGACCGGCAUUGACGCUGAGGCGCGAAAGCCAGGGGAGCAAACGGG
rnacentral:rRNA from 1 species